AACUUUAAUUGAGUGAAGUAAUUAAGUAAUUGUGCUUAUUAACACAUUAUUACUGUGUGUAUUAUAUUUUUAACUUACCUAUAAUGGGAGCAGCAUUGCACUCAGUGGGAGCAGUGAUGCUGCGCUUUGGACUGAAGGAUGCCUGGCAAGUCAGGAGUAAGAUUGGAGGUUGAGAUGUGAAGGACAUCACAGAGAAGGCUGUCGGUCAUUUUGGUUCUCAAUCUGCUUUUGUUCAGAGUUAACACAGAAAAUGUUUGCUCACAUAUCUAUGUUAAGCCGAACAGACUCAUCAUUCUUUUUGCAUCGUGUCUUAUCAGAGGGAACUUGUCUUUUUCCAAGCUCUGGUAGAAGUCGGGUAGAGAGAGCAGCCGAUGUUGAUUCUCCAGAGAACUAUCACACUGCAUUUCAAUAAGUUCUAAUUGCAGUUUCUCUUCCACUUCUGCUGCGUCCACCAGGAAGGGAGUCCAGAACACUUUGAUGUCUUUCUCAAUGGCGCUGACUGAAUUCUGUGAUGAGAGAUGUGAUCACAGACACGUAUUUCCCAUUUUCAGCAGAAAGCUUGGCCUUUGGAAAAGCAGAUUUGAUUUCGGACAGCGUGGGGAAGUGCGCAACAUUGAAGUUGCGUAGUUGCGUCUCAAAGAGACGGAGCUUCACACAGAACGCUUUCAUGUGAGCGUAAAGUUGUGGCACGAGCUGAUCUUUGCCUUGUAGGCUCUUGUUCAGUGUGUUAAGAUGAUUAGUAAGAUCAGCUAAAAAAGCAAGGAC